rnacentral:misc_RNA from 1 species
UACGUAGGGUGCGAGCGUUGUCCGGAAUUACUGGGCGUAAAGGGCUCGUAGGCGGUCUGUCGCGUCGCCUGUGAAAGCCCGAGGCUCAACCUCGGAAUUGCAGCCGAUACGGUCAGACUAGAGGACGGUAGGGGCAAGCGGAACUCCUGGUGUAGCGGUGAAAUGCGCAGAUAUCAGGAAGAACACCGAUGGCGAAGGCAGCUUGCUGGGCCGAUCCUGACGCUGAGGAGCGAAAGCGUGGGGAGCGAACAGG